rnacentral:rRNA from 1 species
GCUUAACACAUGCAAGUCGAGCGGUAAGGCCCUUUCGGGGGUACACGAGCGGCGAACGGGUGAGUAACACGUGGGUGAUCUGCCCUGCACUUCGGGAUAAGCCUGGGAAACUGGGUCUAAUACCGGAUAUGACCAAAGGCUGCAUGGCUUUUGGUGGAAAGGUUUACUGGUGCAGGAUGGGCCCGCGGCCUAUCAGCUUGUUGGUGGGGUAAUGGCCUACCAAGGCGACGACGGGUAGCCGACCUGAGAGGGUGACCGGCCACACUGGGACUGAGACACGGCCCAGACUCCUACGGGAGGCAGCAGUGGGGAAUAUUGCACAAUGGGCGAAAGCCUGAUGCAGCGACGCCGCGUGAGGGAUGACGGCCUUCGGGUUGUAAACCUCUUUCAGCAGGGACGAAGCGAAAGUGACGGUACCUGCAGAAGAAGCACCGGCCAACUACGUGCCAGCAGCCGCGGUAAUACGUAGGGUGCGAGCGUUGUCCGGAAUUACUGGGCGUAAAGAGCUCGUAGGCGGUUUGUCGCGUCGUCUGUGAAAACCAGCAGCUCAACUGCUGGCUUGCAGGCGAUACGGGCAGACUUGAGUACUGCAGGGGAGACUGGAAUUCCUGGUGUAGCGGUGAAAUGCGCAGAUAUCAGGAGGAACACCGGUGGCGAAGGCGGGUCUCUGGGCAGUAACUGACGCUGAGGAGCGAAAGCGUGGGUAGCGAACAGGAUUAGAUACCCUGGUAGUCCACGCCGUAAACGGUGGGCGCUAGGUGUGGGUUUCCUUCC